rnacentral:lncRNA from 1 species
GCACAGGGGAAGCCCGGAGCCUCUUCUGAGUUAGUGGCUUUCUCUGCGAAUCUCAUGCGGUCUCUGGAGUCUGUGUUGGGAUGAAGGUUAAAGCAUUUACAACACGCGUUUGUCAUGUGUUCUUGGGACUAUUUCUGACGCUCCUGCGGUCUAUCCAUGCAUCUCCCAGUGCUUUUCACUUAGAAUCUAGAGGAAGAACAAGGGAUCCCAAAGUCGUCAAUGAGAUCCUGAGAUCAAAGCCACAUGAUUGAGGAGGGGCCAACCACAGAUCCACUGGGACAACCAGCUUCUUUCUUUUGGGAUUAUUGCAUAGCUACCAGAUUAAAUUACAUUUUCCUCUUAGUAUUUUUAAUUUGUAGAAGCCUCGAAGGUAAUUUGUCAUCUGUGGAUUAAGGGUGCUCUAAAACCUGUCUAUUGGUCUUUUUGAAGUUAUUUUAGUUUGUUAAUAUUAAACAAGCAUAUGUGACAUUUACUUAACACUAUGACAUGUGAUUAACUUUUGUAAGCAUAUGAGGUUUACAUUUGAUGGAUGUUUUGAAAACAGUAUAUACAGCAAUGCAUUAUAGACAGCAUAUGUUCCAGGGACUAUACUACUUGCUAUAGACAUCACCCAGAGUGUGAUAUUUAUUUACUGAAGGAAAAAUGUAUUUAACCAAUACAAUUUCAUCUAGAGGGCAGAAUGCUAUGGUUGGGUUUAUCUGUGUACUAUGAGAAUUGGGAGGGGAA